UACGAAGGGGGGCUAGCGUUGCUCGGAAUUACUGGGCGUAAAGCGCACGUAGGCGGCUUUGUAAGUUAGAGGUGAAAGCCCGGGGCUCAACUCCGGAAUUGCCUUUUAAGACUGCAUCGCUAGAAUUGUGGAGAGGUAAGUGGAAUUCCGAGUGUAGAGGUGAAAUUCGUAGAUAUUCGGAAGAACACCAGUGGCGAAGGCGACUUACUGGACACAUAUUGACGCUGAGGUGCGAAAGCGUGGGGGAGCAAACAGG
rnacentral:rRNA from 1 species